rnacentral:rRNA from 1 species
AGAGUUUGAUCCUGGCUCAGGACGAACGCUGGCGGCGUGCCUAAUACAUGCAAGUAGGACGCACAGUUUAUACCGUAGCUUGCUACACCAUAGACUGUGAGUUGCGAACGGGUGAGUAACGCGUAGGUAACCUGCCUGGUAGCGGGGGAUAACUAUUGGAAACGAUAGCUAAUACCGCAUAACAAUGGAUGACACAUGUCAUUUAUUUGAAAGGGGCAAUUGCUCCACUACAAGAUGGACCUGCGUUGUAUUAGCUAGUAGGUGAGGUAACGGCUCACCUAGGCGACGAUACAUAGCCGACCUGAGAGGGUGAUCGGCCACACUGGGACUGAGACACGGCCCAGACUCCUACGGGAGGCAGCAGUAGGGAAUCUUCGGCAAUGGGGGGAACCCUGACCGAGCAACGCCGCGUGAGUGAAGAAGGUUUUCGGAUCGUAAAGCUCUGUUGUAAGUCAAGAACGAGUGUGAGAGUGGAAAGUUCACACUGUGACGGUAGCUUACCAGAAAGGGACGGCUAACUACGUGCCAGCAGCCGCGGUAAUACGUAGGUCCCGAGCGUUGUCCGGAUUUAUUGGGCGUAAAGCGAGCGCAGGCGGUUAGAAAAGUCUGAAGUUAAAGGCAGUGGCUCAACCAUUGUAGGCUUUGGAAACUGUUUAACUUGAGUGCAGAAGGGGAGAGUGGAAUUCCAUGUGUAGCGGUGAAAUGCGUAGAUAUAUGGAGGAACACCGGUGGCGAAAGCGGCUCUCUGGUCUGUAACUGACGCUGAGGCUCGAAAGCGUGGGGAGCGAACAGGAUUAGAUACCCUGGUAGUCCACGCCGUAAACG